AGUAACAACGGUCCGCUGUCGGGGGUAAUGCGUAGGGGGGAAGGGUGGUUCGGAAGUGCGGGGCGUAAAGCGCGUGUAGGCGGGCUGGGAAGGCAGGUGUGAAAGCCCCGGGCGCAACGUGGGAACUGCAUUUGAUACUGCCAAACUAGAGUACGGAAGAGGUGACUGGAAUUCCCAGUGUAGCGGUGAAAUGCGUAGAUAUUGGGAGGAACACCAGAUGCGAAGGCGGGUCACUGGGCCGAUACUGACGCUGAUACGCGAAAGCCAGGGGAGCGAACGGGAUUAGAUACCCGAGUAGUC
rnacentral:rRNA from 1 species